rnacentral:rRNA from 1 species
UACGUAGGCAGCAAGCGUUGUUCGGAAUUACUGGGCGUAAAGAGUGUGUAGGCGGUGCUCCAAGUCUGGUGUGAAAUCUCCCGGCUUAACUGGGAGGGUGCAUUAGAAACUGGAAUGCUAGAGGAUGGGAGAGGUAAGCGGAAUUCCUGGUGUAGCGGUGAAAUGCGUAGAUAUCAGGAGGAACACCUGUGGUGUUAGACAGCUUACUGGGACCAUUUCUGACGCUGAGAACACGAAAAGCGUGGGUAGCAAACAGG